rnacentral:rRNA from 1 species
AACGAACGCUGGCGGCAUGCCUAACACAUGCAAGUCGAACGAGACCUUCGGGUCUAGUGGCGUACGGGUGCGUAACGCGUGGGAACCUGCCCUUAGGUUCGGAAUAACUCCCCGAAAGGGGUGCUAAUACCGGAUAAUGUCUUCGGACCAAAGAUUUAUCGCCUUUGGAUGGGCCCGCGUUGGAUUAGCUAGUUGGUAGGGUAAAAGCCUACCAAGGCGACGAUCCAUAGCUGGUCUGAGAGGAUGAUCAGCCACACUGGGACUGAGACACGGCCCAGACUCCUACGGGAGGCAGCAGUGGGGAAUAUUGGACAAUGGGCGAAAGCCUGAUCCAGCAAUGCCGCGUGAGUGAUGAAGGCCCUAGGGUUGUAAAGCUCUUUUACCCGGGAUGAUAAUGACAGUACCGGGAGAAUAAGCUCCGGCUAACUCCGUG